CCGUCCUUUAUUGGCUCUCAGGCCUUACCUGCACUGAUGAGAACUUUGUAAUUAAGUCGGGAGCUCAACGUGCUGCCUCAACUGAGGGUGUUGCAUUAAUUGCCCCUGAUACAUCUCCAAGAGGCCUGAAUGUGGAAGGAGAGGCAGACAGCUGGGAUUUCGGUAUAGGUGCUGGAUUUUAUAUUAAUGCUACUCAGGAGAAGUGGAAAAACUGGCGUAUGUAUGACUAUGUUGUUAAGGAAUUGCCUAAACUUCUCAGUGACAAUUUUCCGCAGCUUGAUACAUCAAGGGCAUCUAUAUUUGGUCAUUCAAUGGGCGGCCAUGGUGCUUUAACAAUAUAUUUGAAGAACCUUGAUAAGUACAAGUCAGUUUCUGCCUUUGCACCAAUUGCCAAUCCUAUAAACUGUCCCUGGGGCCAGAAAGCUUUCACAAAUUAUCUUGGUGGCAAUAAAGCUGAUUGGGAGGAAUAUGAUGCUACUUCCCUAGCUUCAAAGUUUCAUGGUGUAUCUGCUACGAUUUUAAUUGAUCAGGGAGAGGAUGACAAGUUCUUGCAUGAUCAGUUGUUGCCUUAUAACUUUGAGGAGGCAUGCAGAAGUGCUAAUGUUCCACUUCUAUUGCGAAUGCAACCUGGUUAUGAGCACUCCUACUCUUUCGUUUCCACUUUCAUUGAUGAUCAUAUCAGCCACCAUGCUCAAGCUCUUAAUCUGUAAUUCACUCUGGUAAACUAUGGGUAAUGCAACAAGUGGGUGUGCUAAUGUGGUUCCAAUGCUAUGGUGAUCCUUAAAUAAAGCUUGCUUGAUUUCCCCAAGGUUCACCAAAAAUGGGGGAAAAUGUAUAUAUUUUCCUCUUCUUUUGAAAACUGAUAACACUUUGUUUCCUUAUCAUUCACUUGAUACCUGUUCUAGGGACCUUGGUGUUGCUUUCUAUAUGCAUUUAGUGUCCAUGCCCAAUGAUAAUGGUGGUGGUGGUGGUGGUGUUAUUAUUAAAAAAAAAGAGGAAAAUAUAUACAUUUUCCCCCAU
rnacentral:misc_RNA from 1 species